AAAAACAUGUCCUUUUGAUUUUUUAUUUAAGGUCUAGCCUGCCCAAUGAAUAAUUUUGAAUGGCCGCGGUAUUUUAACUGUGCUAAGGUAGCAUAAUCAUUUGUCUUUUAAUUGAAGACUAGUAUGAAUGGCUGAAUGAAACAUAAUCUUUUUUUAAUUCAAUUAGCUUGAAUUUAAUUUUUUAGUUAAAAAGCUAAAAUUUUAUUGGAGGACGAGAAGACCCUAUAGAUCUUUAUAUAAUAUAUAUUUGUAUUAUUUAGUUAUGUAAUUCGUGUGUAAUAUAUAAUUGUAUUUGGUUGGGGUGACUUUAGAAUUUAAAAAACUUCUAAUUAAUAUAAAUCACUAAUUAGUGAAUAUUGAUCCAUUAUUAAUGAUUAAAAGUUUAAGUUACCUUAGGGAUAACAGCGUAAUUUUUUCGGAGAGUUCAUAUCGAUGAAAGAGUUUGCGACCUCGAUGUUGGAUUAAAGUAAGUUAUAGGCGUAGCCGUUUAUUAACUAGGUCUGUUCGACCUUUAAUAUUUUACAUGAUCUGAGUUCAA
rnacentral:rRNA from 1 species